CACGCCGUAAACGAUGAAUGCUAGGUGUUGGGGGUCAAACCUCGGUGCCGAAGUUAACACAUUAAGCAUUCCGCCUGGGGAGUACGGUGGCAACACUGAAACUCAAAGGAAUCGACGGGGACCCGCACAAGCAGCGGAGCAUGUGGUUUAAUUCGAUGCAACGCGAAGAACCUUACCAGGGCUUGACAUAUAUGCGCUAGCACUAGAGAUAGUGGUUUCUCUUCGGAGACGUAUAUACAGGUGG
rnacentral:rRNA from 1 species